rnacentral:lncRNA from 1 species
AACUUAGGGUUUAGAGUUAAAGGGUGGAGUUUAGAAUUUAGGGUUUAGGGUUUAGAGUUUAGGGUUUAGGGUUUAGGGUUUAGGGUUUAGAGUUUAGAGUUUAGGGUUUAGAGUUGAGAAAAGAGGUUUUGGGGAUAAGAUUUCAAAUUUUGAAAAAUAAAAAAAUUAAAAUUUUCAAAGGAUAAACUUAGAAAGAUGCUAUUUUGGUCAUUUUAGUUUUUGAGUGCUAUUUUUGUGAUAUAAACUUAGAAAAGUGCUAUUUAGGAGAUUUUUCCUUUUAUCUUUUGAAAAUUUUAAUUUUUUUAUUUUUCAAAAUUUGAAAUCUUAUCCUCAAAACUUCAUUUCUCAACUAAAUAGCACCUUUCUAAGUUUAUCCUUUGAAAAUUUUAAUUUUUUUAUUUUUCAAAAUUUGAAAUCUUAUCCCCAAAUCCUCAUUUCUCAACUCUAAACCCUAAACCCUAAACUCUAAACCCUAAACCCUAAACUCUAACCCCUAAACUUUAAACCCUAAACCCUAAACUUUAAACCCUAAACCCUAAACCCUAAACCCUAAAAUCUAAACCCUAAACUCUAAACCCUAAAUCCUAAACCCCACCCUUUAACUCUAAACCUUAAGUUUGUAACUUUUGAUAAAACAUUAAGUGCUAUUUUUGUGACUUUUGAACUUGAGUACUAGUUUGGGAACAAAAACUUGAUUUAGUGCUAUUUUUGUCUUUUUUUUCUUU